rnacentral:lncRNA from 1 species
UGCGACGUGUGCCUGGAGUAGCCCCGACUCUUGUACGGUCGGCAUCUGAGACCAGUGAGAAACGCCCCUUCAUGUGUGCUUACCCAGGCUGCAAUAAGAGAUAUUUUAAGCUGUCCCACUUACAGAUGCACAGCAGGAAGCACACUGGUGAGAAACCAUACCAGUGUGACUUCAAGGACUGUGAACGAAGGUUUUCUCGUUCAGACCAGCUCAAAAGACACCAAAGGAGACAUACAGGUGUGAAACCAUUCCAGUGUAAAACUUGUCAGCGAAAGUUCUCCCGGUCCGACCACCUGAAGACCCACACCAGGACUCAUACAGGUGAAAAGCCCUUCAGCUGUCGGUGGCCAAGUUGUCAGAAAAAGUUUGCCCGGUCAGAUGAAUUAGUCCGCCAUCACAACAUGCAUCAGAGAAACAUGACCAAACUCCAGCUGGCGCUUUGA